AGACAGGUUGGUGGGGAAAGAAGAGUGACAGGGAGCGAGAGGGAGAAUGCAUGGAGGACAAAGGAGAGGAAGACCAAGAGCGGUGGUCUCUGAUGAGAUAAAGGCCACAAUUAUUGACCAUGUUGUAAACCAUGUUCUCUCUUUGAGAGAGGCCGGUUUAAGGGUGUAUCCAAAUCUGCAGCGUUCAAUAGUUGCAUCAAUAGUACAAAUUUUCCGUUAAAACAAAAGUAGGAUCCAAAGGUUGCCUCCCACAGGAGGGAGAGGCAGAAUAGUAUCAGAUGCGAAGGAAAUUGCCAUUGUCGACGUGGUAAUUGGCAACAAUACAAUAAAACUGCGGGAAAUUCUGGACAGAGUGCUGGCAGACAAUAUCACUUUUGGGAAUGUGAAUACAGUCAGCACAACGAUAGAGUCCUAGAGAAACUAAGUAUGAAGCAGUUAUACACUGUACCCUUUGAGAGAAACGGUGAACGUGUGAAUGAACUCUGGUGUCAAUAUGUCCAGAGUAAUGGAGAUGGAAUCCAGGCAAACUGCACAUACAUUCAUCUUUGUGGAUGAAGCUGGAUUCAACUUGGCAAAAACACGCCGCAGAGGAAGAAAUGUGAUUGGACAGAGAGCAACCGUGGAUGUCCCAGGGCAGAGCGGAGCUAACAUCACAAUGUGUGCAGCACUGUCCAAUGAUGGUUUUCUGUUACACAAACCACUCAUUGGCCCCUACAAUACAGAGGGGCUCGUUUCUUUUCUGGAUGAGCUGCAUAAUCAACUUGUGCCAGCGGAGGAGAGAGGGGCAAGAAACUCCCCUACCUUCGUUGUUGUGUGGGAUAAUGUGGCAGUCCACCACUUUGGAGGCACUUCUCCUGAAGACUGCCAAGGUGUGGAGGCACUUCUCCUGAAGACUGCCAGGGUGGAGAUACACUUCUCCUGAAGACUGCCAGGGUGUGGAG